rnacentral:rRNA from 1 species
AACGAACGCUGGCGGCAUGCCUAACACAUGCAAGUCGAACGAGACCUUCGGGUUUAGUGGCGUACGGGAGCGUAACGCGUAAGAACCUGCCCUUAGGUUCGGAAUAACCCUCCGAAAGGGGUGCUAAUACUGGAUAAUGUCUCCGGACCAAAGAAUUAUCGCUUUUGGAUGGGCACGUGUUGGAUUAGAUAGUUGGUAGGGUCAAAGCAUACCAAGGCGACGAUCCAUAGCUGGUCUGAGAGGAAGAUCAGCCACACUGGGCCUAGGACACGGCCCGGACUCCUACGGAAUGCAGGAGAGGGGAAUAUAGGACAGUGGGGGGAGUCCAGAACCAUCAAGGCUGGUAAAGUGAUGAAGUCCUUAGAGUUGUAAAGCGCAGUAACCCUAGAUGAUAGUGACGGUACCGAGAGAAUAAGCUCCGGCUAACUCCGUG